rnacentral:lncRNA from 1 species
CCCNNNNNNNNNNNNNCAGUUUCAUGUGCUCUCAUGGCCAAAGGGUUGCAUGUGUUGGAAACAAUCUUAAUCUGCUGGUUUUGAGUAUUAAAAGCUAAGGUAAAAUUAGUAAUUUCAAUUCCACUCUCUUUCCCUCUUUUUAUGAACCCUAAACUCACCCUUAAAGCCUUCACUCAUUUGGGGUCAAUUGCAUGUACACAUACUCUGUAAAUUGGGGUAAUUGAAAGUGCUAGGGAACUGAUAUUGAAAUGGAGAAAAGAAUUGAAGGUCGGAGCUUGGAAGGACUGUUGAUGGAACAAGAAAACAAGAGGAAUUGCUUAAGUUGUGUAAAAUCCGUAUUUGGGACAGGGCUCCACUCAAACGGUAAUAAAUCUCUCUCUGUAACUCUGAACUUAGUGUGGUUUGUUUCUAUGGAUAGAUAACGAAAUUAUCUUCGUCUGGGUGUUGAUUUGGUGGAAUUCAGAGUUAUAUUGAGCUCUAGGCAUGAUUUCGAAGUGGAGGGUCUGAAGCUGAGUUUGUGCAGGAAUAUGGACUGUUCGNNNNNNN